GACGAACGCUGGCGGCGUGCUUAACACAUGCAAGUCGAACGGAAAGGCCCUGCUUUUGUGGGGUGCUCGAGUGGCGAACGGGUGAGUAACACGUGAGUAACCUGCCCUUGACUUUGGGAUAACUUCAGGAAACUGGGGCUAAUACCGGAUAGGAGCUCCUGCUGCAUGGUGGGGGGUGGAAAGUUUCGGCGGUUGGGGAUGGACUCGCGGCUUAUCAGCUUGUUGGUGGGGUAGUGGCUAACCAAGGCUUUGACGGGUAGCCGGCCUGAGAGGGUGACCGGCCACACUGGGACUGAGAUACGGCCCAGACUCCUACGGGAGGCAGCAGUGGGGAAUAUUGCACAAUGGGCGGAAGCCUGAUGCAGCAACGCCGCGUGCGGGAUGACGGCCUUCGGGUUGUAAACCGCUUUCGCCUGUGACGAAGCGUGAGUGACGGUAAUGGGUAAAGAAGCACCGGCUAACUACGUG
rnacentral:rRNA from 1 species